rnacentral:rRNA from 1 species
UUGAUUCAGUGGGUGGUGGUGCAUGGCCGUUCUUAGUUGGUGGAGUGCAUUUGUCUGGUUAAUUCCGUUAACGAACGAGACCUUAACCUGCUAAAUAGUCACGCGAACCGGUCCGCAAGGGCUCAAAGUUCGCGGCUCGACUUCUUAGAGGGACUAUUCGCACCCGCCAGCGAAUGGAAGUUUGAGGCAAUAACAGGUCUGUGAUGCCCUUAGAUGUUCUCGGCCGCACGCGCGUUACACUGACGGAGUCAACGAGCGUUUUUCCUUGCCCGAUAGGGUUGGGUAACCUCCUGAAACUCCGUCGUGAUGGGGAUAGAUCAUUGCAAUUAUUGAUCUUGAACGAGGAAUUCCUAGUAGGCGCGAGUCAUCAACUCGCGCCGAUUACGUCCCUGCCCUUUGUACACACCGCCCGUCGCUCCUACCGAUUGAACGGUCCGGCGAGAACUCCG